AUGGUGCAUUUCAUUCCUCCGGUCCUCCUGAAGGGGUUCCAUGGUCCUUAUCUCUCUGGCGCCAUUGUCUCAUGAUGUGUUGGAGUACAGAGAUUACUAGGCACUUGUCUCACAUCGUCCUUGUAAGGUUUCAGUCAGAGGGCUCGCUUGGUGGGACUUACGGAAUAUCCGGACUGGAGCCUGGUAGAUUGCAGUCUAUAGGUAGCAAGGACAAGUUUUUCCUGAAAUCAACAUGUUUUAACGACCAUCCUCUUUGCCACCACUACCAAAUUAUGGCCCGUCAUUGAACUCCUAAAUUAAUGUGUCUCCAAGUCAUCAGGAACAAAGGAUUAUUUCUCAGAGAGGAGACCAUAACAUAAAAUAUACUGUAUCGUUAUUAUUGCUUUUAUUAUAAUUUUUUGUUACGAACCGUUGUU